UGGUAACUACUGAGACCCUCUGGUGGA
rnacentral:piRNA from 1 species